rnacentral:lncRNA from 1 species
AUUGUGGUUUGGGGGUCAGCACCCACCAGUGCCAGGGCACUACUGGGAGGCUGGGACCUGACCAAAGCCCAUGGUGUCUGUGGCCUGAGGACAGGGUGUCUUGGGGCCAUGAGGACAGGCCACCAAUGGCCGUUGGGUCAUAGGGCCUGAGCCCCAGUGUUUGUCCUUCCCUGGCUCCUUCUGGUUCAGUCCCAUCAGGGCUCUGGAUCCCAAGACGCAGCAUCCAAGGUUCCCUCCAGGAAUCCUGGUGGCUUGGCUUACUUUGUCAUGUUUCAUCUGAUAGCAAAAAUAUCAGAUCGGCUGCACAGAAAAAAUGGCUCAAAGUGCUUAAUGACCAGAAGAAAUCUAGGAGCAGCAAGAAGGUGUGGGGCUGGGUAUGGUCAUUCCUGCUGGAUGUCUAGAAGGUGAAAAACAAGGACCUAGGAAAAUACCAGAUACAGCAUUUCCACCGUCAUCCAGAGCAGGACAAACACGCCAGGUGGUGUCAGGAGCCUAGGUCUCCAGCUGGAGGGAACGUCAACCCUGCAGUGGGAGCCCAUCAUGCAUCCUAGGCACAGAUGCUAAUGUAGGCACCGCAG